rnacentral:rRNA from 1 species
AGUAUAGCAACUAUACAGUGAAACUGCGAAUGGCUCAUUAAAUCAGUUAUCGUUUAUUUGAUAAUACCUUACUACUUGGAUAACCGUGGUAAUUCUAGAGCUAAUACAUGCUAAAAAUCCCGACCUCUGGAAGGGAUGUAUUUAUUAGAUAAAAAACCAAUGUCUUCGGACUCCUUGGUGAUUCAUGAUAACUUAACGAAUCGCAUGGCCUUGCGCCGGCGAUGGUUCAUUCAAAUUUCUGCCCUAUCAACUUUCGAUGGUAGGAUAGUGGCCUACCAUGGUUUCAACGGGUAACGGGGAAUUAGGGUUCUAUUCCGGAGAGGGAGCCUGAGAAACGGCUACCACAUCCAAGGAAGGCAGCAGGCGCGCAAAUUACCCAAUCCCAAUUCGGGGAGGUAGUGACAAUAAAUACUGAUACAGGGCUCUUUUGGGUCUUGUAAUUGGAAUGAGUACAAUUUAAAUCCCUUAACGAGGAACAAUUGGAGGGCAAGUCUGGUGCCAGCAGCCGCGGUAAUUCCAGCUCCAAUAGCGUAUAUUAAAGUUGUUGCAGUUAAAAAGCUCGUAGUUGAACCUUGGGUCUGGCUGCUCGGUCCGCCUAACCGCGUGCACUGAUGCGGCCGGAUCUUUCCUUCUGGCUAACCUCAUGCUCUUAAUUGGGUGUGUUGGGGAUCCAGGACUUUUACUUUGAAAAAAUUAGAGUGUUCAAAGCAGGCCUAUGCUCGAAUACAUUAGCAUGGAAUAAUAGAAUAGGACGGCGGUUCUAUUUUGUUGGUUUCUAGAGCCACCGUAAUGAUUAAUAGGGAUAGUCGGGGGCAUCAGUAUUCAAUUGUCAGAGGUGAAAUUCUUGGAUUUAUUGAAGACUAACUACUGCGAAAGCAUUUGCCAAGGAUGUUUUCAUUAAUCAGUGAACGAAAGUUAGGGGAUCGAAGACGAUUAGAUACCGUCGUAGUCUUAACCAUAAACUAUGCCGACUAGGGAUCGGGCGGUGUUUAAAUUAUGACCCGCUCGGCACCUUACGAGAAAUCAAAGUUUUUGGGUCUGGGUGGAGU